GACGAACGCUGGCGGCGUGCCCAAUACAUGCAAGUCGAACGCAGUGGGGCCGGGUGAGUAACACGUGGGUAACCUCCCAUCAGAGGGGAUAACACUUGGAAACAGGUGCUAAACCGAUACUGAUGGAUGGACCCGCGUUGCAUUAGGUAGUUGGGGAGGUAACGGCUCACAAAGGCCACGAUGAAUAGCUGGCCUGGGAGGGUGAUCGUCCACACUGGGACUGAGACACGGCCCAGACUCCUACGGGAGGCAGCAGUAGGGAAUCUUCGACAAUGGACGAAAGUCUGACCGAGCAACGCCGCGUGAGUGAAGAAGGUUUGCGGAUCGUAAAACUCUGUUGUUAGAGAAGCGGUAUCUAACCAGAAAGACACGGCUAACUACGUGCCAGCAGCCGCGGUAAUAC
rnacentral:rRNA from 1 species